GACGAACGCUGGCGGAAUGGAUUAGGCAUGCAAGUCGUACGAGAUUUAUACCUUCGGGUAUAUUGAGAGUGGCAAACGGGUGAGUAACGCGUGGGUAUCUGCCUUUAAGCGGGGGAUAACUCAGGGAAACUUGAGCUAAUACCGCAUGUGGCAUUAAUGUUAAAGGUGGCCUCUAUUUAUAAGCUACCGCUUAGAGAUGAGCCUGCGUACUAUUAGUUAGUUGGUGAGGUAACGGCUCACCUAGGCAAUGAUAGGUAGGCGGCCUUAACGGGUGGUCGCCCACACUGGGAUUGAGAUACGGCCCAGACUCCUACGGGAGGCAGCAGUCGAGAAUAGUCUACAAUGGUCGGAAGACUGAUAGUGCGACGCCGCGUGAACGAUGAAUCCCUUCGGGGUGUAAAGUUUCUUUUAAUAUUGUGAGCAGUGCUUCUUAUAUUAACGUAUGGGGAGAGAGAUAUUAGCAUAUGAAUAAGCAACGGCUAACUCCGUGCCAGC
rnacentral:rRNA from 1 species